GUCUAGCCCUGAUGGAAGCGAUAUCCUUUUUCUGGCUGCUGUCAGCCGGAAAAAGAUAUAGCGGACAGCAGGAAAUAGC
rnacentral:sRNA from 1 species